GCUGGGCAUGGUGGUGCACACCUGUAAUACAGCAACUCAGGAGGCUGAGGCAGGAGGAUAGCAAGUUUAUGGUCAACCUGAGUAACUUAGUAAGACCCUGUCUCAA
rnacentral:sRNA from 1 species